UACGUAGGGUGCGAGCGUUAAUCGGAAUUACUGGGCGUAAAGCGUGCGCAGGCGGUUUGUUAAGUCUGAUGUGAAAGCCCCGGGCUCAACCUGGGAACUGCAUUGGAAACUGGCAAGCUCGAGUAUGGCAGAGGGGGGUGGAAUUCCGCGUGUAGCAGUGAAAUGCGUAGAGAUGCGGAGGAACACCGAUGGCGAAGGCAGUCCCCUGGGCCAAUACUGACGCUCAGGCACGAAAGCGUGGGGAGCAAACAGG
rnacentral:rRNA from 1 species